GACGAACGCUGGCGGCGUGCUUAACACAUGCAAGUCGAACGGAAAGGCCCUGCUUUUGUGGGGUGCUCGAGUGGCGAACGGGUGAGUAACACGUGAGUAACCUGCCCUUGACUUUGGGAUAACUUCAGGAAACUGGGGCUAAUACCGGAUAGGAGCUCCUGCUGCAUGGUGGGGGUUGGAAAGUUUCGGCGGUUGGGGAUGGACUCGCGGCUUAUCAGCUUGUUGGUGGGGUAGUGGCUUACCAAGGCUUUGACGGGUAGCCGGCCUGAGAGGGUGACCGGCCACAUUGGGACUGAGAGACGGCCCAGACUCCUACGGGAGGCAGCAGUGGGGAAUAUUGCACAAUGGGCGGAAGCCUGAUGCAGCAACGCCGCGUGCGGGAUGACGGCCUUCGGGUUGUAAACCGCUUUCGCCGGUAACGAAGCGUGAGUGACGGUAAUGGGUAAAGAAGCACCGGCUAACUACGUG
rnacentral:rRNA from 1 species